UGCGUAGGCGGUGAUGUUAGUCGGGCGUUAAAUCCUUGGGCUCAACCCAAGGCUCGCGUUCGAAACGGCAUUACUAGAAGAUGUGAGAGGUAAGCAGAACUCUCGGUGUAGGGGUGAAAUCCGUUGAUAUCGAGGGGAAUACCAAAUGCGAAGGCAGCUUACUGGCACAUUCUUGACGCUGAGGCACGAAAGCGUGGGUAGCGAACG
rnacentral:rRNA from 1 species